CGAACGCUGGCGGCGUGCUUAACACAUGCAAGUCGAACGGAAAGGCCCUGCCUUUGUGGGGUGCUCGAGUGGCGAACGGGUGAGUAACACGUGAGUAACCUGCCCUUGACUUUGGGAUAACUUCAGGAAACUGGGGCUAAUACCGGAUAGGAGCUCCUGCUGCAUGGUGGGGGUUGGAAAGUUUCGGCGGUUGGGGAUGGACUCGCGGCUUAUCAGCUUGUUGGUGGGGUAGUGGCUUACCAAGGCUUUGACGGGUAGCCGGCCUGAGAGGGUGACCGGCCACAUUGGGACUGAGAUACGGCCCAGACUCCUACGGGAGGCAGCAGUGGGGAAUAUUGCACAAUGGGCGGAAGCCUGAUGCAGCAACGCCGCGUGCGGGAUGACGGCCUUCGGGUUGUAAACCGCUUUCGCCUGUGACGAAGCGUGAGUGACGGUAAUGGGUAAAGAAGCACCGGCUAACUACGUG
rnacentral:rRNA from 1 species